GAAAUGCGAUAAGUAAUGUGAAUUGCAGAAUUCAGUGAAUCAUCGAAUCUUUGAACGCACAUUGCGCCCCCUGGCAUUCCGGGGGGCACACCUGUUCGAGCGCCAUUUCAACCCUCAAGCCCUGCUUGGUGAUGGGUCUCGCCCGCGCGGCGGGCCCGAAACUCGUGGGCGUCGUCGUUCGGCUCCAAGCGUAGCAAAACCCUCGCUUGGGCGCCCGGACGGCGGUAGCCUUGAACGAAUUUUUACAAGGUUGGCCUCGGAUCAGGUGGGGAUACCCGCUGAACUUAA
rnacentral:misc_RNA from 1 species